rnacentral:rRNA from 1 species
GAUGAACGCUAGCGGCAGGCCUAACACAUGCAAGUCGAGGGGUAGUAAGUGCUUGCACUUAUGAGACCGGCGCACGGGUACGUAACGCGUAUGCAAUCUACCUUGUACAGGGGGAUAGCCCAGAGAAAUUUGGAUUAAUAUCCCAUAGUGUUUUAGAGUGGCAUCACUUUAUUACUAAAGAUUUAUCGGUACAAGAUGAGCAUGCGUCCCAUUAGUUAGUUGGUAAGGUAACGGCUUACCAAGACGAUGAUGGGUAGGGGUCCUGAGAGGGAGAUCCCCCACACUGGUACUGAGACACGGACCAGACUCCUACGGGAGGCAGCAGUGAGGAAUAUUGGGCAAUGGAGGCAACUCUGACCCAGCCAUGCCGCGUGCAGGAAGACGGCCCUAUGGGUUGUAAACUGCUUUUGUACGGGAAGAAACCCUCCUACGUGUA